UGUGCCCAGAUGGGAUUAGCUAGUAGGUGGGGUAACGGCUCACCUAGGUGACGAUCCCUAGCUGGUCUGAGAGGAUGACCAGCCACACUGGAACUGAGACACGGUCCAGACUCCUACGGGAGGCAGCAUG
rnacentral:rRNA from 1 species